AUGGUUUCUGUGCUGAUGCUCUUCCUCAUCCUGGUCAUGCUGGUUUUGGCCCUGCCCCCAUCGUUGUGUCCCCACCUGUCCCCCACCCCAAAUCUCAGCCCUUGGCCCAACCCUGACCCUUUGCUGCACCCCUGGAUUGGCUCAGCCCCGAAUUCUCAGCUCUUUGUGUCAAAUCCUCAGCUCUGGGCUGCUGGGUGUGGGGGGGACCUCCCACCCCCCGGGGGGUCCCUGACUCUGCUCUACCGUGCCUCUGGAUUCGAUUUUGGAAGCUCCUACAUGAACUGGGUUCGGCAGAGCACCGGCAAGGCGCUGGAAUACCUUGGCUAUAUCAGCAGCAAUGGUGGCAACACCUACUACGCGCCGUCAGUCAAGGGCCGGUUCUCGAUCUCCAGGGACAACGGGCAGAGCUCGGUGACGCUGACCAUGAACAACCUCAAGGACGAGGAUUCCGCCGUUUAUUUCUGUGCCAAAGAUGCAAGUGGUUAUGGUGGUUGGAUCGAGAAGAGACUCUUGACUGACGGCACGAGGUCGUAG